rnacentral:rRNA from 1 species
ACACGACUACAUUAGAUACCCGGGUAGUCCUAGCCGUAAACGAUACUCGCUAGGUGUCGGCCACGGUGCGACCGUUGUCGGUGCCGUAGGGAAGCCGUGAAGCGAGCCACCUGGGAAGUACGGCCGCAAGGCUGAAACUUAAAGGAAUUGGCGGGGGAGCACAACAACGGGUGGAGCUUGCGGUUUAACUGGAUUCAACGCCGGAAAUCUUACCGGGACCGACAGCAACAUGAAGGCCAAGCUGAAGACUUUGCCGGAUUAGCUG